UGCCCUAGUAACGGCGAGUGAAGCGGCAACAGCUCAAAUUUGAAAUCUGGCUCUCGGGCCCGAGUUGUAAUUUGUAGAGGAUGCUUUUGGUGCGGUGCCUUCCGAGUUCCCUGGAACGGGACGCCAUAGAGGGUGAGAGCCCCGUCUGGUUGGAUGCCAAUCCUCUGUAAAGCUCCUUCGACGAGUCGAGUAGUUUGGGAAUGCUGCUCUAAAUGGGAGGUAUAUGUCUUCUAAAGCUAAAUACCGGCCAGAGACCGAUAGCGCACAAGUAGAGUGAUCGAAAGAUGAAAAGAACUUUGAAAAGAGAGUUAAAAAGUACGUGAAAUUGUUGAAAGGGAAGCGCUUGUGACCAGACUUGGGCUUGGUUGAUCAUCCAGGGUUCUCCCUGGUGCACUCUUCCGGCUCAGGCCAGCAUCAGUUUGCCUCGGGGGAUAAAGGCUUCGGGAAUGUGGCUCUCUCCGGGGAGUGUUAUAGCCCGCUGCGUAAUACCCUGUGGCGGACUGAGGUUCGCGCAUUCGCAAGGAUGCUGGCGUAAUGGUCAUCAGUGACCCGUCUUGAAACACGGACCAAGGAGUCGUCUUCGUAUGCGAGUGUUCGGGUGUCAAACCCCUACGCGAAAUGAAAGUGAACGCAGGUGAGAGCUUCGGCGCAUCAUCGACCGAUCCUGAUGUUCUCGGAUGGAUUUGAGUAAGAGCAUACGGAGCCGGACCCGAAAGAAGGUGAACUAUGCCUGUGUAGGGUGAAGCCAGAGGAAACUCUGGUGGAGGCUCGCAGCGGUUCUGACGUGCAAAUCGAUCGUCAAACAUGGGCAUG
rnacentral:rRNA from 1 species